rnacentral:rRNA from 1 species
UACGUAGGGGGCUAGCGUUGUCCGGAUUUAUUGGGCGUAAAGAGCGUGUAGGCGGCCUGGUAGGUCUGCUGUGAAAACUCGAGGCUCAACCUCGAGAUGUCGGCGGAAACCAUCUGGCUAGAGUCCGGAAGAGGAGAGUGGAAUUCCUGGUGUAGCGGUGAAAUGCGUAGAUAUCGAGAGGAACACCUGCGGCGAAGGCGGGUUGCUGGGCUGACACUGACGCUGAUGCGCGAAAGCUAGGGGAGCGAACGGG